rnacentral:lncRNA from 1 species
AAGAAAUGAGUUUGCAUUUUUUUAUUUCCUUUUUUGUUUAAAUAUUUUAUUUUCUUAUCAUUUUAUUUUAAUUAUUAGAAAACCACGUGUCAUCCUCUUACUAGUUGGAUUCAAAAUUAGGGGAGAGAUCAUGUAUAGGAUCCCCUCAGCGUAUCCACCAUCGACUACAUUUUAAUGUCACAUGAUUUGGAUCAAGGGGCUCGUAUCUGGUGGAUCUGGUGGUUUGAUCAUGGCCAUCUGAUCUUCA